GCUCCGGUGACCUAGUGGUAAGAGCGUCCGCCUCGGAUGCGGGAGGUCGUUGGUUUGAUCCCCCCUCGAUUCA